rnacentral:rRNA from 1 species
GACGAACGCUGGCGGCGUGCUUAACACAUGCAAGUCGAACGGUAAGGCUCCAGCUUGCUGGGGUACACGAGUGGCGAACGGGUGAGUAACACGUGGGUGACCUGCCCUGCACUUCGGGAUAAGCCUGGGAAACUGGGUCUAAUACCGGAUAGGACCGCACCGUGAGGGUGUGGUGGAAAGUUUUUUCGGUGUGGGAUGGGCCCGCGGCCUAUCAGCUUGUUGGUGGGAUAAUGGCCUACCAAGGCGGCGACGGGUAGCCGGCCUGAGAGGGUGGACGGCCACAUUGGGACUGAGACACGGCCCAGACUCCUACGGGAGGCAGCAGUGGGGAAUAUUGCACAAUGGGCGGAAGCCUGAUGCAGCGACGCCGCGUGGGGGAUGACGGCCUUCGGGUUGUAAACUCCUUUCACCAUCGACGAAGGGUUUCUGACGGUAGAUGGAGAAGAAGCACCGGCUAACUACGUGCCAGCAGCCGCGGUAAUACGUAGGGUGCGAGCGUUGUCCGGAAUUACUGGGCGUAAAGAGCUCGUAGGUGGUUUGUCGCGUCGUCUGUGAAAUUCCGGGGCUUAACUCCGGGCGUGCAGGCGAUACGGGCAUAACUUGAGUACUGUAGGGGAGACUGGAAUUCCUGGUGUAGCGGUGAAAUGCGCAGAUAUCAGGAGGAACACCGGUGGCGAAGGCGGGUCUCUGGGCAGUAACUGACGCUGAGGAGCGAAAGCAUGGGGAGCGAACAGGAUUAGAUACCCUGGUAGUCCAUGCCGUAAACGGUGGGCGCUAGGUGUGGGUUUCCUUCCACGGGAUCCGUGCCGUAGCUAACGCAUUAAGCGCCCCGCCUGGGGAGUACGGCCGCAAGGCUAAAACUCAAAGGAAUUGACGGGGGCCCGCACAAGCGGCGGAGCAUGUGGAUUAAUUCGAUGCAACGCGAAGAACCUUACCUGGGCUUGACGUAUACAGGAUCGCGCCAGAGAUGGUGUUUCCCUUGUGGCUUGUAUACAGGUGGUGCAUGGUUGUCGUCAGCUCGUGUCGUGAGAUGUUGGGUUAAGUCCCGCAACGAGCGCAACCCUUGUCUUAUGUUGCCAGCACGUUGUGGUGGGGACUCGUAAGAAACUGCCGGGGUUAACUCGGAGGAAGGUGGGGAUGACGUCAAAUCAUCAUGCCCCUUAUGUCCAGGGCUUCACACAUGCUACAAUGGUCGGUACAGUGGGUUGCCAGUCCGUGAGGGCGAGCUAAUCCCGCAAAGCCGGUCUCAGUUCGGAUCGGGGUCUGCAACUCGACCCCGUGAAGUCGGAGUCGCUAGUAAUCGCAGAUCAGCAACGCUGCGGUGAAUACGUUCCCGGGCCU